CUGAAAUGCCCAGGAAGGUAAAAAUGGAAAAAUUCAGAACCAUGUUCUGUUUAACAGAUAUGUUGGAGUUGGAGAACAAUAUUUUGAUUUCCAUAGUGAAGAAAGGAGGAAAAAGACCCCUAGCAAAGGUCACGGCUAUAUCAGCGUACUGAUCAGCCUUCCAGGAAUAUCAUUACUGCAACCAGCAUAUUCAUUGGCAAGCCAGAGGAUACCGAGGAGGGAUGGCAGCGCGCAGCCAGGCUGGGCGUCAGCAGCGCUCCCCUUGCGAGGACAGUUCGAGAGUGACACCGCGUGGACCCGGCCGGAGCCGCCGCCGCCCCCGCCGCCGCCAAAAGCGGUCAGACAGAGGAGGAAACUCGGUGCUGGUCACUGCCCGUUUCUAGAAAAAAAUUAAAAAGGCAGACGGGGAAGUAGUCCUUUGUGUUUAAUCCAGGAUUAAAGAAAACAUCUCUCUUUUUCUUUCCUAUUGCUUUCACUUAUGUAUUCAUUUUUCCCCUCUUUUUCUUUCCCCCAGGCAUUUGCUGUACUGCUGGCAGCA
rnacentral:lncRNA from 1 species